rnacentral:tRNA from 1 species
GCCUGGCUGGCUCAGUAGGUGGAGCUUGUGACUCUUGAUCUUGGGUUAUGGGUUCGAGCCCCAUGUUGGGUU